rnacentral:rRNA from 1 species
ACUCAAAUGAAUUGACGGGGACCCGCACAAGCGGUGGAUUAUGUGGAUUAAUUCGAUGCAACGCGAAAAACCUUACCUACCCUUGACAUGUCCCGAAGCCCGGUGAGAGCCGGGGGUGCCCGAAAGGGAACGGGAACACAGGUGCUGCAUGGCUGUCGUCAGCUCGUGUCGUGAGAUGUUGGGUUAAGUCCCGCAACGAGCGCAACCCUUGUCAUUAGUUGCUACAUUCAGUUGGGCACUCUAAUGAGACUGCCGGUGACAAACCGGAGGAAGGUGGGGAUGACGUCAAGUCCUCAUGGCCCUUAUGGGUAGGGCUUCACACGUAAUACAAUGGCGCGUACAGAGGGUUGCCAAGGAGCGAUCUGGAGCCAAUCCCGCAAAGCGCGUCGUAGUCCGGAUUGCAGUCUGCAACUCGACUGCAUGAAGUCGGAAUCGCUAGUAAUCGCGGAUCAGCAUGUCGCGGUGAAUACGUUCCCGGGUCUUGUACACACCGCCCGU